rnacentral:sRNA from 1 species
GCUAUGCGUAAUUCGUGAAGGAUGAGAACCUGCAGCAGGUUCGACAAAAUCGUCGGGAACGAUUUUGCAUCACCGCUUGCGGUGACCCGCAGGGCGAGUCUCGAAAUGAGACGAGUCAUCCUAUACGCCCCACCA